GAUACCAGAUGCAACAGAGGUCAUGUAGUAAGUGUGCAUUCCUUCCUUUCUCCCUACUCCUUUCUUUCCCUGCCUUAUAGAUUCAAACUUUCCAUGAUGAAGGAUUAGCUUUGAAUUGGGUUUGAGGGGAGCCUCAUGGAAAGUGGGGAACUCUCAUAUCUGGCAUCACUAAGCAUCCAUUUUCCCUGGGACCUUUACCCCAGUAGGUAGAGUGUCUAUGUUAGCAAAGGAUCAGGAUGGCUAUUGAUGAGCAUCCUGGGGCUUUGCUAGUCCAGGCAGUGCCCCCUGCAUGUCCUCGGAAACUUGGCUGCUUCAGGUGUCUUUUGGAAACAGCAGCAUCUGCUGGCUGCCUGAACAGUAACCCGGCUGCAGGCUUCAGGGGGAGCAAAUCACAGCAUCUGUGUUUCUCCAGCAAAACAGCAGGGCUAUUAAAAUAGCUCUUAGGCAUAAUCUAUCACCACACUGUCUCCCUUGUUUGCACAGGCUGUAACUGAAGAAAUGAGAGUCUGGAGAUCCUGAUGUGAUGGAGAAGCACUAGCAUGGGAAUCAGGAGAUUUGAGUUCAUGCCCAGGCUUUGCCAAACACUGGGUGACCUUGGCCAAGUCACUUGGCCUCUAGACCUAGUUCCCUGAUUUUAAAUGCCCAGAGGCUUCUAGGUCUGUAAUGACAACUGCUGCUUGGGAAUAUAGGUAGGAUUCAUAACAGCUGGCUUCUUUGCUAAAUGCUUUCUGGAAAAAUUGUUCAGUUUCUUUAUGACUUAGUUUCCUCAUCUGAAAGCAGAGAUGGUGAUAGCUACCACCAUAAAGAGUAGUUCUAAAAAUUGACUGAGAUGCUGAUUAUAAAGUCCUAGACAUGAUUCCUGGCAUGUAAUAAGCACUCAACAAAUGUCAAUUGCCUUUCUAUCCCUGAGUCCGAAGAGUGCUUAGUCUCUGUGCUGAAUUAUAGGACUACUACUGUUUAGCCUGAGUGUAGAAUCCAAAUUUAUGUUAGCAAUCAUUAUUAUCCAAUGUGAUAGGUGUAUUAUUCCCACCCUAGCCUCUAGUGCAUUAAUUUCUCAUAGGUGCUUCUGAACAGAAUGAUCCAUUUGCCAAAGAAUGCCCCCUCCUUCACGCCUUCAAGGUUGAGCACAAAUGAUUCUCCCUCAUGAAACUUUGAACCUCUUUUAGAAGAUCUGAUGGCUCGCUUGGUGAACAUGAACCCAUACCCCUCAGGUUUAACAAAGAAUGGAUACCAGAAACUUGAGAAGGAGUGAGUAGAUUAUCCUAUUGUCUGAAUACCCAUCUAUCAACCACGUGAGAGGAUGGGGAUUGGCCUCAGCCCUGGAAGAUGCACUUGGCCUUCUUUCUGUUUCUUCUGCUCCCCUGUUUGUAUUCCUUUUGUUCCUUUCUGUGAAUAACCUAGUGCCUUGUACAAUAGGAGGGAGAAUGGAUGUGAUGAAUACUUAGAUAAUGGAUGACAUAUAUAUCUAAUGAUUCAUUGAGCAUCUAGUGUAUCAGAGAAGCAUGUAUUCAUAUUCUUCCCUUCAUAUUAUUUAGCUAUGUACCUUUUACUUUCAAAAUGAGGUUAAUUGAUUCUUAAUGAGAUAAUGAGAGUAUAGGCAGCAAUAUUUCUAUUUCCUCAAGGCUCUGUUUUGUACUUUGAAUGGGCAUAAGUCAGUGUGAUAUUGUAGAAAAAACUGUGAAUUUACCACAAUCUGAAAUCACUACAUCAUGAUUACAGUGCUUAUUAUUAUAUUUGCAGUUGUUUAAUGCUACUUUAUAUCUCCACAUUUUGUAUUCUAAAGCAUGAGACUGCAGAAGAGUCCAAUUCAUCUUGUUCUGCUUGGGAUUUUAAAUAGGUUAAUAGGAUGGAAAUACAAGGCACAUUUUUGCAUUCUGUUACAAAUAUUGUACACAGAUAUUGCUAUGCUGUUUGGGCAAAAUGUAAUGAAAUGUAAUUUAAUAUGAUACUUUCAAGCACAUUAGAUUGUUCCUGAGGGCUUUAUGACCGUGGUCCUAAACUGUGUUAAACCAUAGCUGAAACAAGUCUGAGCAAAAUGUGUUUCUUUCCUCAUUUUGCUGGCCUCUCUGAGUUUGAUGACUUUUUGUUGCCUGUGCCAAAUGAUGUUUGGGGUUUCGUGUGGUUGGGCCAGGCUAGAAAUGAGUUUGAAAAUAGUCAGCUCUCCUUGUGAGAAUAUAUUGCUUGUUCUACCUUUAGCUGGCUCCUCAAUUCACCAGCCAUUCUAUUUAUUUAUUAAUUCACCAAAGUCACUCAUUCAUUUAUUUAUUCAACUCUAUAUCUUGCUCUAUGCUCCAGGCAUUAAUCUUUCUGUUUCCUCACACUCUUCCCCAAGAUGUAAGCUUGUGGUCCUGGGCAAACUUGCAUGACUAAAGUGCAGGACAAGUGUCUGGCUCUUAGAAUGAGCUGCAUCCAGGAGAACAGGAGGAAUGGAUGUGAGUUUUCUCUUUUACAGAGAGAAGAUUUCUUUAUUAUAAGGACAAAAUGAAAUAAAGUCUAUGAAGUGUUUGAUGCAAUGUAAGACAUGCAGCACUCAAGGUCCAUAGGGAAAAUGCAUAAAUGACCCCAUUUCCAAAUGUAUAAAAUAGGAACUAAACACCUAGCUUUGUUUUUAAAAUUAAAUAAUAUGCCAUUAACACCUAGAAGAGUGCCUGGCAUAUGAUCAUUUAAUUUGAUCUCUUUUCUAAAGAAAGACAGUAAGAGUUACCACCCCAUAAUAUGGAGUAGUAAUGACCAUUUAGACCCAUUAGGGGCAGAUUUAUAAAAUCCUGACUUUUGGAGUUCCCUUCAUGGCUCAGCAGUUAACAAACCUGAUUAGCAUCCAUGAGGACGUAGGUUCGAUCUCUGGCCUUGCUCAGUGGGUUAAGGAUCCAGCACUGCUGUGAGCUGUGGUGUAGGUCACAGAUGCAGCUCAGAUCUGGCGUUGCUGUGGCUCUGGUGUAGGCUUGCAACCACAGCUCUGAUUGGACCCCUAGCCUGAGAACCUCCAUAUGCUGCAGGUGCGGCCCUUAAAAGACAGACAAAAAAAAAAAAAUUCCCAACUUUUGAAUAUCCCAGCACAGUUCCUCUCUGGCUUUAGCCACUACUGCUUGGAAGGACUUCCCAGGCUCACUUUGUAUCCCUUUUCCCCUGCCCUGGAGAGUGUCUCUCCUUCUAGCCUCACCUCCCAUGACUGUAGGGUCAGGUAUAUGAAGUCAGGAUUCACAGUUGAGCAAGACAAGAAAAAGGGAAUCUUCGCAGUUCUCCAUCCCUCCCUCUCAAGCCCAAAGGGACUCACUAAGGCCAGUUUUGGAUGGACCCCAGGCCACCCCUCACCCCUGUUCUAUCCCAGUUCUUCCCCCGCCCCAAUGCCAGGCACCAGAGCUCAGUUCCCUUUGAAAUAUAUAACAAAUCUAUUCAGUCCUUUGAGUAGCCAAAGACUCAGGAGAGAACAAGGAGCAAGUUGGCAGCUACUUGACUCCCUCUCUCUUGUCCCUCUAUGCCCCUCCGCAAAUUGAAUCCUCUCCAUUGACUGCACAUCCACAUUUCAGCAGGCAGGCUGCAAUUACUCAAUGACAGCGUGCCCUGAUUUCCACCGCGGAAGAUCCAGGGCUGGCUGAGAUGACCCAGGCGUGACCGUCCUCUGUCAGCAAUGCUAGGGAGAAGCGUCUGACUUAAAAUCACACAGCAAUGGAGAGCACCGUUGUUUGCAUUCUCACAAGUCACUCAAAACUCUGGGACAAGAUCGCCCCACAAAGAGCCUACGGAACAUUCCAGGAGAUUUCCUCUGUCCUGCCCCCUCCAGAAAGUCCCACCCGUGGCUCUUACAACUGCCAUUAUGACUGGAGUGGCUAGUCAGUGGUGUGAUGGUUUUCCCUUCAUCGGCCCAGGUUUUAAAACUUGGAAGAGAGAUGAGAGGUAUCCCCCUAAAUCCUCUUCUGCUCCCCACCUCCCUUCACUGAGUUAACCUGACUUCUUGUUCAGACUUCGACUCAAGUAUCAUUUCCUCAGGGGAGGUCUUCCACAAUAACUGCAUCCGAGUCUAAUACGGCCCUUUGUGCUUUCCUUUGGUAUCUCGGAUCAUAGUUUAAUGUAUAUCUUCUUUGGAGAAAUGUCUAUUCAGGUCUUUUGCCCAUUUUUCCAUUGAUUGAUUGGUUUUUUUGCUGUUGAAUUGUAUAAGUUGCUUAUAUAUUCUAGAGAUUAAGCCCUUGUCAGUUGCAUCAUUUGAAACUAUUUUCUCCCAUUCUGUAAGUUGUCUUUUUGUUUUCGGUUUCCUUUGCUGUUCAAAAUCUUUUCAGUUUGAUUAGGUCCCAUGGGUUUAUUUUUGCUCUAAUUUCUAUUGCUUUGGGAGACUGACCUGAGAAAAUAUUCAUGAUGUUGAUGUCAGAGAGUGUUUUGCCUAUGUUUUCUUCUAGGAGUUUGAUGGUGUCCUGUCGUAUAUUUAAGUCUUUCAGCCAUUUGGAGUUUAUUUUUGUGCAUGGUGUGAGGGUGUGUUCUAGUUUCAUUGCUUUGCAUGCAGCUGUCCAGGUUUCCCAGCAAUGCUUGCUGAAUAGACUUUCUUUUUCCCAUUUUAUGUUCUUGCCUCCCUUGUCAAAGAUUAAUUGACCAUAGGUGUCAGGGUUUAUUUCCGGAUUCUCUAUUCUGUUCCAUUGGUCUGUCUGUCUGUUUUGAUACCAGUACCACACUGUUUUGAUGACUGUGGCUUUGUAGUAUUGCAAUGUAUACAUGUAAGGAUAACCUGACCCCCUUGCUGUACAGUGGGAAAAUAAAAAAAAAAGAAAAAAAGAAAAAAAA
rnacentral:lncRNA from 1 species